GUCCCCUUUUCAAAAUUAAAAUUAAUGACAUCUACACUCAGCAACCACACACAUGGGCGGGGGGCACCGUUCUUGGAGCUACUGCAAUACCAGGUCGAUGCAUGGAGUGAACUAAGUAAGCUGCUAUUGCAACCCCCUCCUACAAAAAUCCACUUUAUAUACAUUUUUUUAGACAGGGUCUCAUCAUGUCACCCACUCUGGAGCUCAGUGGUGCCAUCAUGGCUGACUGCAGCCUUGACUUCCUGGGCUCAGGCAAUCCUCCAGCCUCAGCCUCUUGAGUAGCUGGACUAUAGGUGAGCUCAGGUGAUCCUCCUGGCUCAGCUUCCCCAGUAGCUGGGACUACAGGCACGCACCACCACACCUAGCUAAUUUUUGUAUUUUUUUGUAGAGUCAGUGUCUCACUAUGUUGCCCAGGCUGGCCCCCACUGGGUUGGCCUCUGUCAUACACCCCGCGGCACCCAGACUCCUCGGUGGCCCUUAGCCUCAGGUUCAUAGACUCAUCAGUCAGGGAUUUCUAUGUUUCCUCUGUGGCUCUGCGGGGGAUGGGUUGUGACCUGUUUACCACUAGAUCCCGGGAACCCUGCUUGGGCCUGUACAUCAAAGUCCCCAAGAAGUGAAGGAGCAAGAAAGUGGCAGAAUUUUUAAAAUUUUCAAUUUAAUUUAAAAAAUUAAUGUUUUAAAAUUUGUGUUUGGAUUUAAAAUGUGAAUGGAUAUCCAUAAUUGCAUUUUUUUUUUUUUGAGAUGGGGUCUCGCUCUGUCGCCCAGGCUGGAGUGCAAUGGCAUGAUCUCGGCUUACUGCAACCUCCACCUCCUGGGUUCAAGUGAUUCUCCUGCCUCAGCCUCCCGAGUAGAUGAGAUUACAGAUGCCCACUGCCACGCCUGGCCAAUUUUUUGUAUUUUUUAGUAGAGACAGGGUUUCACCAUGUUGGCUAGGCUUGUCUCCAACUCCUGACCUCAGGUGAUUCACCUGCCUCAGCCUCCCAAAGUACUGGGAUUACAGGCGUGACCAUGACCGGCCAUAAUUGCAAUUUUUUAAACAGUUAUUUGUUUUUUGAGAUGGAGACUCACUCUGUCACUCAGGCUGGAGUGCAGUGGUGUGAUCUCAGCUCACUGCAACCUCCACCUCCCGGGUUGAAGCCAUUCUCCUGCCUCAGUCUCCCGAGUAGCUGGGACUAGAGGCACCCACCACCACACCUGGCUAAUUUUUGUAUUUUUUUUUAGUAAAGACGGGGUUUCGCCAUGUUGGCCAGGCUGGUCUUGAAAUCCUGACCUCAGCUGGUCCGCCCGCCUCAGCCUCCCGAAGGCAGGGAUUACAGGCAUGAGCCACUGCACCUGGCCUAUUAUUUCAAUUUUAAUAUCAAAUUGCUAACACUAGGCUGGGCACGGUGGCUUGUACCUGUAAUCCCAGCACUUUGGGAGGCCGAGAUGGGAAGAUCGCUUGAGCCCAAGAGUUUGAGACCAGCCUGGGCAACACAGCGAGACCCCAUCUCCUCAAAAACUCAAAAAAGUAGCCUGCCUGUAGUCUCAGCUGCUCAGGAGGCUGAGGUGGGAGGAUGAUUGCUUGAGCCUGGAAGGUCUGCUGCACUACAGCCUGGGCAACAGAGCAGGACCCUGUCCCUGUCUCGAAAAAAAAAUAAAAAUAAAAGUAAAAAUAAAAAAUAAAGAACAGGAGAGGGGCUCCGGGAUAUGGGUGGCAAAAAAAGGCAACAUGGGGUCCUAACCUGGCCAUUUUUGUCCUCACUGCUCACUGGGAUGUGGUGUGGAUGAUGCUGGGUGAUAUCACGGAACCAGCGGCGAUCCUCUCAGGCACACUCGCAUUAACAUGGCUAUGACUGGGAAGGGUGUGCUCAGAGGUGUCCUUAACAUCUGACAAGAACAGACAGCCAAGGGUACUUGGGAACAGGCCUGGAGCAGUGGCUCACACCUGUAAUCCCAGCACUUUGGGAGGCCGAGGCAGGCAGAUCACCUGAGGUCCAGAGUUCCAGACCAACCUGGCCAACAUGGUGAAACCCCAUCUCUACUAAAAAUACAAAAACAGCCAGGCAUGGUGGUGCGCACCUGUAAUCCCAGCUACUUGGGAGGCUGAAGCAGGAGAAUCGCUUGAACCUGGGAGGCGGCAGUUGCAGUGAGCUGAGAUCACACCACUGCACUCCAGCCUGGGCUACAGAGUGAGACCCCAUCUCAAAAAACAAAACAAAACAAACGAACAAAAAAACACUUGGGAAAGGAGAAAGCAUGGUGGAGAACACAGAAACCAUCUGAAUAUAAAAUCAGGGCCAGGCAUGGUGGCUCAUGCCUGUAAUCCCAGCACUUUGGGAGGCUGAGGCAGGCAGAUUACCUGAGGUCAGGAGUUCAAGACCAGCCUGGCCAACGUGGUGAAACCCCAUCUCUACUAAAUAUAUAAAAAUUAGCCGGGCGUGGUGGCGGGCGCCUGUAAUCCCAGCUACUCAGGAGGCUGAGUCAAGAGAAUCGCUUGAACCCGGGAGGUGGUGGUUGCAGUGAGUCCAGAUCGUGCCACUGCACUCCAGCCUGUGCGACGAGUGAAACUCCGCCUCAAAACAAACAAACAAAACCCUAACAUUGCCUUGAGCCCAGAGGCAGUUGUCAAAGAAUGAGGACUCAUGGGAAGCCUCCUGGAGGCUCGCUGACUUGGGAGCUCAAGUAGGGUAGCUGUGCUUCCUUCAUCUCCCCUCCAGCAGGGAUGGCACCCAGGGGGCCAGGGCAGGAACUCAGGUUUCCUCAGCCCACAAAUCCCCUGGAAAAAACAUGACAGGCAGGCCGCAUGUGCUUUUGUCAGGUUCCUCCCUGAACCCACCCAUGAGCUGCAGGCCUACCUCUCCCUCAGCAGAAUCCUGGAGCUACCAUUCUCAGCAAGCCUGAGCUCCCUUAGUGCCUGGGAGCUGUCAGUCUGGGAGGCUUCAUGGAGGAAGCGAGACUUGGGUCAGGGAGGGCAGUGACUAAGGGGCACUUUGGAAGGGCCCAGUAAGGGCUGGGGUGCGGAGACCCAGGGGUGGUGGCAUCAGAGCUGAGCCUCAAAGGACCCAGAAGCCUGGGAUGUUUAAAACCUGCCCAUUAUGGGGUCUAGCGAACAGCUUCUUUUAUUCUUGUUUGAAAGUAUUUUUCUG
rnacentral:lncRNA from 1 species